ensembl:lncRNA
CACGGGACCAUUAAAGGCAGCCUGGCCAGGCUUCCCCACCACCCCCCCGAGUCGCCCCCUCCAGUCUUGGACGGCAGUGACAGACGGCCCACAACACCCCCCUGACCCUGGCUGCAGGGCUCUGCUCAUUGAUCCAGAGAUGCUCUUUCCUUUUCCUCAGGCGCUUCUCUGAAGGAUGGAAAAAUCGAUGCCCGCGGAUGAGCGGGUGCAAAGCAGGUGCAGACAGCAGCGCCGGGGAGAAGGCCAAGGGCAGGGGAGUCAGGCGCCUGGGGUCCUGCGGCUGUUCCCCAUCUCCUAGGACACACUCCGAGGCAGGUAGUUCUCCAGGACAGCUGUGAUUGGCUCAGCCAUUGCACCUCCACAUCACCAGAUGCUCCUGUACUUACUGAAGCAAAGAACAUAGAAUUGGAGAGUCUUGUACCAGCAAUUCAUACUGUUCUUGAUACUGUUCAUGGGGCUCUUGCUGCAAGAAUGCUGGAGUGGUUUACCAUACCCUCCUCCAGAUUUUAUUUUUCUUGGGUUCAAAAAUCACUGCAGAUGGUGACUGCAUCCAUGAAAUUAAAAGAUGCUUGCUCUUUGGAAGGAAAGCUAUGACAAACCCAGACAGAGUAUUAAAAAGCAAAGACAUCACUUUGCCAACAAAGGUCCACAUAGUCAAAGCUAUGGUUUUUCCAGUAGCCAUGUACAGAGGUAAGAGUGGGACCAUAAAGAAGAACAAGGGUCGAAGAGCUGAUGCUUUUGAACUGUAGUGCUGGAGAAGACUCUUGAGGGUCCCUUGGACUGCAAGGAGAUCAACUCAGUCAAUCCUAAAGGAAAUCAACCCUAAUAUUCUUUAAAAGGACUGAUGCUGAAGCUGAAGUACUUUGGCCACCUGAUGAGAAGAGCUGACUCAUUGGAUUAGACCCUGAUGCUGGGAAAGAUUGAAGGCAAAAGGAGAAGAGGGCAGCGGAGGAUGAGAUGGUUAGAGAGCAUCACCGACUCAAUGGUUAUGAAUUUGAGCAGACUGGAGGAGGAAGUGGCAACCCACUGCAGUAUUCUUGCCUGGAGAAUCCCAUGGACAAAGUAGGUGGGCUGUGGUCAAGGGGUGGCAAAGAGUUGGAUGCAACUUAGUGACUGAACAACAACAAGUACCAGCAAUUAAGUGCCUCUACCCAGAAGUGACAUACAUUAGCUCACAUAAACUGCCAAACCCAGUGGAAAGUGCAGUGCCAGGCUGGAAGGAGUACUGGAGAGACUGGCAAACAUUGCACAUGUCACCAUACACAUAUUAAGGAAACAUGCUUUUAUUGCUAAUUUUAGACUUUGGAGCCUGAAAGACCUGAAGAGUCAACUUGAAAAGUCAUUCAGCCUUGGCUAUGUGAUGAGUAGCAGUGGAGGUCAGUAUUAAAAAAAAAAAAAAAGUGAAAUCAGGACUUCCCUGGUGGUCCAGUGGUUAAGAAUCCACCUUGUAAGGCAGGGGAUUUGGGUUUGAUCCCAGGUCGGAGAACCAAGAAUCCAUAUGCCACAGAGCAACUAAGUCCACACACUGCAACUACUGAAGCCCUUGAGCUCUGGACCUCGAGCCACAACUAAAAAGUCUGUUCUUGGCAACAAGGGAUCCCACACGUUGCACUGAAGAUCCUGUGUGCUGC